GGAAUUGACGGGGACCCGCACAAGCGGUGGAGCAUGUGGUUUACCUCGAACAUACGCUAAUAACCUCACCAGGACUUGACCUACCAAUGACCGCUCUCGUAUUGAAAGCUUUUCCUCGGGACAUUGGAUACAGGUGGUGCAUGGUCGUCGGCAGCUCGUGUCGUGAGAUGUUGGGUUAAGUCCCGCAACGAGCGCAACCCUUGUUAUUAGUUGCCAGCAUUUAGUUGGGCACUCUAAUGAGACUGCCGGUGAUAAACCGGAGGAAGGUGGGGACGACGUCAGAUCAUCAUGCCCCUUAUGACCUGGGCAACACACGUGCUACAAUGGGAAGUACAACGAGUCGCAAACCGGCGACGGUAAGCUAAUCUCUUAAAACUUCUCUCAGUUCGGACUGGAGUCUGCAACUCGACUCCACGAAGGCGGAAUCGCUAGUAAUCGCGAAUCAGCAUGUCGCGGUGAAUACGUUCCCGGGUCUUGUACACACCGCCCGUCAAAUCAUGGGAGUCGGAAGUACCCAAAGUCGCUUGGCUAACUUUUAGAGGCCGGUGCCUAAGGUAAAAUCGAUGACUGGGAUUAAGUCGUAACAAGGUAGCCGUAGGAGAACCUGCGGCUGGAUCACCUCCUUUCUAAGGA
rnacentral:rRNA from 1 species